GCCACUUUCCACACAGCUUUUCCGCAUUGGUUUUCUGUUGGUUGUUUUUGUUGGUUGCUUUAUUGCUUCACAAUAAAGGAGAGAUACUUGCUCCCUUUUUGCUCUCUGCUUCUGUGUCAUAUGUCUGCUGGAAGUAUUUUUAUUCUGAGCAAUUAGCAACCCCAGCAUUUUAUUUUGAUUUGCUAUUUGUGCUUUGUUCUGCUCCGCUGCUAUUCUGUUCUGUUCAACGAACAAGUGAACUGCUGAUUCUAGAGAAUCACUAGAACACACAGACAAAGCGGGACUUCCACCACGGGAUUACCGUUACCAGGGCACGAUGUUGACUUGGAUUUCCUGGACAGUCAACCCGGCCUGCAUUUUGUGAAGCGGAUAUCGGCCGCAGGGAAACAAACUUGUGGCUGCGACUGCACAAGUACCGGGGCAAAUGGUACACUGGAAUUAUUUAUCACCGCCGUACCCUGUGACGGACUUACUUGCUGAUAUGGGUGGGAUACAUUCAAAUCGGAAGGACCAAAGUCCUGCCCGUCAUAUCGCUCCGGCGCCUGCAGUGCCGCACUGCUGCUAUGCCAACAGGUAUUUCCGGUUCAUAGAACCGUUAAUUAACCGUAUAACCCCGCAAUCGAAUGCGGUACUCGAUUACCUCUGCUGCCUUUUCCUUGGCAUAGCUCUGCAGAUCAUGAUAUAGUACUCUGAUUUUAUUGUUUUCUUUCCGGAUUUUGUCAUUAUCAUCUUUCACACGGCCAACUUCCUGCUGGCUUUCGAAUGCCAAAGACUGCGCUAUUGCUUUAGCUGCAUUAGCGUUUGUAGCCGGCAAACAUGUUGGCCUGUUGACUGUUGGCGAGCCCGGCAGGAAAGUGGUUUUCCUCCCAUAGAUCUGCCGAAAUGCGCCCACACUUCUGCCGACCCGACCAUAUGCAUUGUCUAUGGGAACUCCAAUAGAUCAGCCGAACCAGAGCACCAGAGCAAUUUGAUACUUCUGUUGGAGCGCAAGCCGGCAAUAGCACGCCCGGGCUGCAUCGUAUACAGCAACAGACACUGCCGCAUUUGAGGAUUUACUUGCCAUGGUAAUCUGUGGCUGCGCAAUGGCCAAUUCUUGCUGUAAUUGUGCUACCAAAUCAGCAUUGGGAUUCACCCUUCUUUUUUCUGCUGUUAAUUCUCGGUGCAGCUGAUUAACUCUCUCAGAGAGGCAGGCCCCCAGUUUACAAAUGGUGUGUCGCUCUAAGCGGUUGACAAGGCUGAUGCAGUCCGUUUUGCUAUCAGUAAUUUGAGACAGUUUCUGCGACGACGGGUGAAUGUUAGAUGGAGGACUAUUUAUUCCAGGAUUAAUCGAUGUAACCAGCUUGUCAAAGUAAUCGACGACAAUCUGUUUUUCUUCUGGUCCCAUUGCAUUCAGUCUUGCUGUGUCCGGCGCAUCUCCCAACCACAGUAAUCCAUGUAAAUGAACGCUCCCUCGGUGUUGAAACUCAAACCGAUACCAGCACAUAGACAGUAGUCCACAAUGUGUAAAUGCGGUUUUAAAACGUCGUGAAUAAAGAUUUUUGCCCGUUCGACAAAGAACCUCUUAAAACGAAUCCACAAAAAACAUUUUGCGGCAAAAGAAGAUCGACUUACAAAAACUUCUUUUCGGUUCUCUUUCUUUUUUAACUUCUUGCCACGCAAUGAAUUCUAUGAAGCUGUAAAGUUAGAAUUAUUCUAAACUGUAUAUUUAUUUCUGACAUCUGCAAAAUUCAUGGCCAGUGAGCCGAUGAAAGGUUUGCGUCCGGCGCUCUGCCAGUUCUCAUCCCAUCGGAUCGUAAGAAGCGCCAAAAUUUUGCUGAACUUUCAAAGGGUGAUUUAUUCCUUCAAGCAAAUUAUUGUAAAAAUGUAGUCAUAUCCGUCAUUCAGGAAGUUUAACAAAUUUGCGCUAACCAAUUUUAAUUUCUCAUUAUUUUCAACCUGAACAAUUCUGACGUUCGUGGCGCCGUUGCCAUUUUAGCGUUACCCCGUUUGCAUCAGAUGCAACUGCCAACCUGGCAACCCGGUAAUGGCAGCAGGACCACGAACGCCAUCGCAUGUCAGGCACUAUAGUAGAUGAGGCUGCCAACAAAGGCAGA